rnacentral:rRNA from 1 species
UACGGAGGAUCCAAGCGUUAUCCGGAUUUAUUGGGUUUAAAGGGUGCGUAGGCGGCCUGUUAAGUCAGGGGUGAGAGACGGUAGCUCAACUAUCGCAGUGCCCUUGAUACUGAUGGGCUUGAAUAGACUAGAGGCAGGCGGAAUGAGGCAAGUAGCGGUGAAAUGCAUAGAUAUGCCUCAGAACACCGAGUGCGAAGGCAGCUUGCGAUGGUCUUAUGGACGCUGAGGCACGAAAGCGUGGGGAUCAAACAGG